rnacentral:lncRNA from 1 species
UUUUAAUCGAAACAAUUUAAGAUCUUAAACAGAAUUUGUAAGUGCGGCUCAAGGAACUCCCCAGCCUUGAAACUAAGACAGUGAUUGAAUCCCUCAAUACAAUCAUAAAACUUAGGAGACAUUGAUCAUUAACAUUGGUCUUUUAUUUUCAUUUGAUCCUUGGGCCCCACUCAAUUAUCUAGAGUCGUAGAAAUAUUCUUUACAUCGAAAGCUCCGCUUCAAGAUGAUAUAUCUCGUUUUCCAGUCCGGCUCAGAACUCUGUGGAAAUGUUAUCAGUAUAUUUACACAGUGCCACCUACUGGUAAAUUUAAGCCUUCAAAUGCCUAGUUUUCCCAUCAGCAGCAGCUUGUUCAAAGGAGGAAUUUUGGAUCAGAAGGGGUCAGAUAAACUGGAGACAUCAGUUGGUCCUCCCAAUUCUGCUCUGAAAUACUGACGUGCAAUUUAAGAGCAUGAUUAGACCUUCAACCCAACUACCUGAAUAUCGACCUUGAAAAUUGUAUUAGCCUGAAGAUGCAGCAAAUAGCACCAGCAUUAAGCUAUCAGGCUAUUGAAAGAAUGGACCAGAAGAAAUUAGAAUUUCUCAUGGAACACUGCUGGAAGAGGAAGCAUCUGGGUAUCCAGAGGAGGAACUUGUGCCCAGGAGAAAGUUGCAACUUCUCAGUCCUCAGAAACAAGGCUUGAGUACAGAGCUAACGUUAUCACCAAAUCGCUAGAAGGAAGUCUUCUGAUGACUAGCCACGGUGGAAUGGAGCCAGUUGGUACUCCAAUCAUCAUUGCUACUUCUGGAUAGAUCUAAGGCCAGAAACUUUGUACAACAGCUCUGUAUAUUUAGCAACAGCCGCUUAAAAUGGAUGGAUCGUACAGUCUGCAAAUUCACCCACCCUGUUCUUAAGGAAUAUUCAACCCACAGCCAUCCCAAGACAAACAUUGCCUGGCUUAAAGUUCUUGGUUCUACCAGCUGAGUUGAAGGACACACUUA